GGGUGCUCCAAGGAGUCGGAGGAACGCGGCCGCGCGACGGGCCCCGGACGCCGAGGGUGGUGCUUCCUCCGAGCCUCCGGUGGUGAGGCCGCUCUCAGAAGGUCAUGGAAGCGCAGGGGAGAGCGAGGCGGCCGAGCCCAGGCAAAUCCUCGAGAAAGGCCGAGUGCGCGACGGCUCUGCGGGGAGGACCGCGCCUCCCCGAAUGCGGCCGCUGCUGCCGCUGCAAACAGUGCCUUGAGGAGAGGAAAGCGGGGAACCGUGUUUUCGCCGCCUCUGUAACCACUGCACACAAGAAAACCAGCUUCUGGGAGAGGGGGAUGAUUGUUGGGACUUUGCGAAUUACCUAAACAGCCCAGGGCCGAGGCGCCGCCGCUCGCGUCCUGGUCCUCCUGCCGGGUGUGGGGCUCCCCUGCCCGAGAUGGCCAGCGGGCGCGCCGAGAGUAUCCUGGAGCCAUCUAGUCUUGCCUCGGAGGCGGGGUGGGCUUAUUUGUGCGGAGAAGAAACGGAUCUCUUAAUGGGGUGAGAUUUUUCCUCCGUACAUUGUUCCCAUUUCCGCAGUUUCACUUGGCCUCGGUUUUCUAGCAGAGUAAUCACCAAAUGAAAUUAGCUGGAGAGCGUUUGAUGGCGCAGAAUCACGGUCUGAAGAUGUUUACGCUGUAUGCCGGACGCGUUUGAUGGUGUUCUCUUCGGCACAAUUAAUUUUGCAAAGUUCAGAAAUGUGCCAGACAGAGCCCCUGGCACGCAGUCAGGACUCUACAGACACACCUUGAGUAGGAAACAGGCUUGUUUGUUUCAUCUGUGAUUUAUGUGAUGCACCAGCACCAAGGCCAACGUGUUUUUUAAAGACCUUUCGAUGAAACUCCAAAGCAAUUUAUAAAUUGGCAAAAUGAAGCUUGUUUUGUAAAAUAACUCUUCCUUGUUGAUCAUGUAAUUAAAUGGGCAACAAAACACCUGAAAGGACAUUUACUGAAAAGUAGACUCCCAAAACAAAAAUAUGUAUUUCACAGCUAGAUACGGUCGCUAUUAGCGUCCUAAUGGCCAACUCCAUCCAUGUGCGUAUUUUGAACACUAAAAACGCCUCCUGUUACCCCUAAGACCUUGUUUGGAUAACAUUUUUCUAUUAUAAGUACUCGAAACCAACCCCAUUUAAGAUGUUUACCCUUAUUCUUGAGUCCUUGAUGGUUUGGGAAAUUUAUCAUUAUUCAUAUUGCACAAUCCUGUCACUGUCUUUUCCAUUAGGCACAGUGCCUAAGGUCCACAAUAUUUUUAGAGGCCCACAAAAAAUAUUUUAAUUUCUUUUCAAAUCAGAAGGAAAAAAAAUUUAGGUUUAAGAAAGUAUUUUAAUAUAUAUUAAUAUAUUUGUUUUUGUGCUAAUACAAUCUUAAAAUGUAUGUAUAUAUGUGUGUGUGUAUAUGUAUAUAUAUUUUAAUGGAGUAAGGGGCUCAACGAAGGCAAAAAGGCCUAGAGCCCAAGAAAAACAUGAUGUGGCCCUGUUGCCUGGGGUUGAAAAAUCCCAUUCCAUGAGAAGAAUUUAGUUUUAAGAAUAUUACAUAAAAUGCUCAUUUCUGUGGCCUUGCUAUAAUAGAAAGAUGGAGAUUCAGAGUAGUGAUAAUGGCUAACAUCCACCUGAUACACACCAUGUGUCCAUUACCUCUUAAUCCUCACAGCACACCUGUGAAAUAGGUACUAUUCUCACACUUAGGGGGUAAUGCAGGUUUUGUGGGGCCUGCAAUUUAUGCAAUUUGGGUGGUCCUCUUAAAGAAAAAGCAAAUACUGUGUAUUAGUCCGUUCUCACACUGCUAUAAAGAACUGCGCGAGACUGGGUAAUUUAUAAAGGAAAGAGGUUUAAUUGACUCACAGUUCCACAUGGCUGGGGAGACCUCAGGAAACUUAACAAUCGUGGUGGAAGGAGAAGCAAGUACCUUCUUCACAAGGAAGCGGAAAGAAUUGUGAGCGGAGGAACUUGCCAAACACAAAACCGUCAGAUCGCGUGAGAAUUCAGUUACUAUCACGAGAACAACACGGGAAAACUGUCCCCAUAAUCAAGUCAUUUCUCUCCCUAACAAGUGAGGAUUACAAUUCAAGAUGAGGUUUGGGUAGGAACACAAAGCCUGACCCUAUCCCACAGCAUGUCCAGGCUGCCCUAGCACCACCCAAUAGAAGGGAAAAUGGCAGAGGGAAAGUCCUAGUGGAAAGAGACCUCAGUCUCAGCUAAUUGUGGUGACAAUAUAUUGCUUUUGCAAAUUGUACAUAAACAUAUGACCAGGUGAAUGUAUCGCCAAGGCUCCUGCCAAGGCCUGGGAUGGAGGCCUAGAGAAGAUGCCCGAAAGUUUAUGCUGUGUGAGCUUCACAGAAGACCUGCCUUCCAUGUAUACCCAUUUUACAGACGGAGUUUCGCUCUUGUUGCCCAGGCUGGAGUACAAUGGCGCAGUCUCGGCUCACUGCAGCCCCCACCUCCCGGGUUCAAGUGAUUCUCCUGCCUCAGCCUCCCAAGUAGCUGGGACUUCAGGCAUGCACUGCCAUGCCUGGCUAAUUUUGUAUUUUUAGUAGAGACAGGGUUUCUCCAUGUUAGGCUGGUCUCGAACUCCAGACCUCAGGUGAUCCCCCACACCUCGGCAUCCCAAAGUGCUGGGAUUACAGGCGUGAGCCACUGCUCCCAGCCCCAUUGUUGAUUUUUAAAACUUAGUGUUCAACAAAUAUUUAUUGAGUACUUAAUACAUAUGCAUGCUAAGGAAACAACAGUGAGUGAGACAAAGCCCUUUGUCUUAUGAAGACUCUGAUGAAGCUUACGUAUUAAGACUCUCAAAACAUGGUCAGAAUGUCCUUGAUUAGCCUGAGUUGCCAAAAAAGAAAAGAAAAAAAGAAA
rnacentral:lncRNA from 1 species